GACGAACGCUGGCGGCGUGCCUAAUACAUGCAAGUCGAACGCAGUGGGGACGGGUGAGUAACACGUGGGUAACCUCCCAUCAGAGGGGAUAACACUUGGAAACAGGUGCUAAACCGAUACUGAUGGAUGGACCCGCGGUGCAUUAGCUAGUUGGUGAGGUAACGGCUCACCAAGGCCACGAUGCAUAGCCGACCUGGGAGGGGGGUCGGCCACCCUGGGACCUAGACACCGGCCAGACUCCGUCGGGAGGGAGCAGGAGGGAAUCUUCGGCAAAUGGGGGAAACCUGACCGAGCAACGCCGCGGUAGUGAAGAAGGUUUUCGGAUCGUAAAGCUCGUUUGUUAAGGAAGCGGUACUUAACCAGAAAGGGACGGCUAACUACGUGCCAGCAGCCGCGGUAAUAC
rnacentral:rRNA from 1 species